CCAUUGUCCGACGCACGAUGCGCCUCGUGCGGUCGUAUUUGGCUCGCGUAGCGAUGAAUUCUCCCUGAGGCGUUAAAACCGUCGACCUGACGUCCAGGGAGUGACUCUACACCUCAAACUCGGCAGUCACGUCCCCCACUGCGCAGCCGUCUUGCGCAGGUUGUGCGACGCCAGGUUGAUUCUCGACUCCUAGACGGUGGAUGAAAUGUAAGAUGCGGCAGUCAGAACCCCUGAGUCCACGCACAUAUUGUGCUCUUUUACAUUUUGUUAUUACUAAUUAUUACUAAUGAUAAGGCAAACAGUGUAAUUGUUUUUCAUAUGAUCUCAUCUGAAAACGCUUAACAAGCGUUAUGGUUAUUGGAAGUGUAUGGAGCGGUCAUAGCCGAUCGGAUACGUCAGUUAUAACCUUAAAUAUAUAUAUGAUUCGGAGCACUCCACCGUAAUUAUGAUUCCAUCAAGUUCUUCAGAACUAUGUGAUUCUAUUUCUACUCAUGAUAGGACAUGGAGAACGAAAAUUUCAACAGAUGCAGCUUAAUUGAAAUCAGCAGCACAACAUUUCCACAGUAACGUUCUGUAUCAUUGAGGUGACUUUGAUGAGUUAUUCUCCCUUGGAGAGGAGUUUUUCUAUGGUGUCCUUCUCUUCAUAUUAAUUCUUUUCUGAUCCCGUAGGUGCUUUCAAUUAAUAGAAUCUACACAAACUUCUUCCAUACACAUCAUCAACGUCUUCAUUUCUCCUUCAGAGGGAUGGGAAAAUUUAAAGCUAUAGAUAUUUCAUUUUGCUAAAUAAUGAAUGCUCAACAAACGUCUGACAAUGCGGUUAAGAUUGGAAAACAUACGCUUGGUAAUCAAGUCGUCAGAAAUGGCUAAAUGUGCAUUCAUAAUGGUUUAUCCUGACUUCUGAGAGCAUCUUCUGGUUCAAAGAUGAAGAGGUGAAUUAUUUUUUCAAAGAUGAAGAGGGAAUUUGAUGGUUUUUCAUUGUAGCCAUGAAAAG